rnacentral:rRNA from 1 species
UACGGGGGGGCAAGCGUUGUUCGGAAUUACUGGGCGUAAAGGGUUUGUAGGUGGCCGGCUAAGUCAGACGUGAAAUCCCUCGGCUUAACCGAGGAACUGCCUGUCAGACUGGAAGGCUUGAGACCGGGAGAGGUGAGUGGAAUUCCCAGUGUAGCGGUGAAAUGCGUAGAUAUUGGGAGGAACACCAGUGGCGAAGGCGGCUCACUGGACCGGAACUGACGCUGAGGCGCGAAAGCGUGGGGAGCAAACAGG